CCUACGGGGGGCUGCAGUGGGGAAUUUUGGACAAUGGGCGCAAGCCUGAUCCAGCCAUUCCGCGUGCAGGAUGAAGGCCCUCGGGUUGUAAACUGCUUUUGUACGGAACGAAAAGGCUCUGGCUAAUACCUGGGGCUGAUGACGGUACCGUAAGAAUAAGCACCGGCUAACUACGUGCCAGCAGCCGCGGUAAUACGUAGGGUAAAAGCGGUACGCGGAAUUACUGGGGGUAAUGGUGUAGGACAGAGGUGAAAUCCCCGGGCUCAACCUGGGAACUGCAUUGGUGACUGCACGGCUAGAGUACGGCAGAGGGGGAUGGAAUUCCGCGUGUAGCAGUGAAAUGCGUAGAUAUGCGGAGGAACACCGAUGGCGAAGGCAAUCCCCUGGGCCUGUACUGACGCUCAUGCACGAAAGCGUGGGGAGCAAACAGGAUUAGAUACCCGAGUAGUC
rnacentral:rRNA from 1 species